GACGAACGCUGGCGGCGUGCUUAACACAUGCAAGUCGAACGGUAAGGCCCUUCGGGGUACACGAGUGGCGAACGGGUGAGUAACACGUGGGUGAUCUGCCCUGCACUUCGGGAUAAGCCUGGGAAACUGGGUCUAAUACCGGAUAGGACCCUGGGAUGCAUACCCUGGGGUGGAAAGCUUUUGAGGUGUGGGAUGGGCCCGCGGCCUAUCAGCUUGUGGGUGGGGUGAUGGCCUACCAUGGCGACGACGGGUGGCCGGCGUGGGAGGGUGACCGGCCACGCUGGGACUGAGAUACGGCCCAGACUCCUACGGGAGGCAGGAGUGGGGAAUAUUGCACUAUGGGCGCAAGCCUGAUGCAGCAACGCCGCGUGAGUGAUGACGGCCUUCGGGUUGUAAACCUCUUUUAGUAGGGAAGAAGCGAAAGUGACGGUACCUGCAGAAAAAGCACCUGCUAACUACGUGCCAGCCGCCGCGGUAA
rnacentral:rRNA from 1 species